rnacentral:rRNA from 1 species
CCUGAACGCUGGCGGCGUGGCUAAGACAUGCAAGUCGCACGGUGUAGCGUAGCAAUACGCUGCACAGUGGCGAACGGGUGAGUAAUGAAUCGCUAAUGUGCCCCGGACUUUGGGAUAGCUAUCCGAAAGGAUAGGUAAUACCAGAUGAUAUGCAGCUGUCGCAUGACAGUUGCCUCAAAGGUCCGCCGGUCUGGGAGCAGGCGAUCGUAUCAGCUAGUUGGUGAGGUAACGGCUCACCAAGGCGAUGACGCGUAGCCGGACUGAGAGGUUGGCCGGCCACAUUGGGACUGAGACACUGCCCAGACUCCUACGGGGGCUGCAGUAACGAAUCUUCCGCAAUGGGCGAAAGCCUGACGGAGCGACGCCGCGUGUAGGAGAAGCCCUUC